UACGAAGGGGGCUAGCGUUGCUCGGAAUCACUGGGCGUAAAGCGCACGUAGGCGGAUUUCUAAGUUAGGGGUGAAAUCCUGGAGCUCAACUCCAGAACUGCCUUCGAUACUGGCGAUCUUGAGUCCGGAAGAGGUGAGUGGAACUCCUAGUGUAGAGGUGGAAUUCGUAGAUAUUAGGAAGAACACCAGUGGCGAAGGCGGCUCACUGGUCCGGUACUGACGCUGAGGUGCGAAAGCGUGGGGAGCAAACAGG
rnacentral:rRNA from 1 species